GGGUUGUGAGGUUAAGCGACUAAGCGUACACGGUGGAUGCCCUGGCAGUCAGAGGCGAUGAAGGGCGUGCUAAUCUGCGAUAAGCGCCGGUAAGGUGAUAUGAACCGUUAUAACCGGCGAUACCCGAAUGGGGAAACCCAGUGUGACUCGUCACACUAUCAUUAACUGAAUCCAUAGGUUAAUGAGGCGAACCGGGGGAACUGAAACAUCUAAGUACCCCGAGGAAAAUAAAUCAACCGAGAUUCCCCCAGUAGCGGCGAGCGAACGGGGAGGAGCCCAGAGCCUGAAUCAGCAUGUGUGUUAGUGGAAGCGUCUGGAAAGGCGCGCGAUACAGGGUGACAGCCCCGUACACAAAAGCGCAUGUGCUGUGAGCUCGAUGAGUAGGGCGGGACACGUGGUAUCCUGUCUGAAUAUGGGGGGACCAUCCUCCAAGGCUAAAUACUCCUGACUGACCGAUAGUGAACCAGUACCGUGAGGGAAAGGCGAAAAGAACCCCGGCGAGGGGAGUGAAAAAGAACCUGAAACCGUGUACGUACAAGCAGUGGGAGCCCCACCACCAAAGCAUUCUCUGGUGUUGAAGGCCCUGCAAAGCAGCAUCGCGGUGGCGGAGCGUCGUUUGCGACGCCCAACACACAAAACAAGCGGU
rnacentral:rRNA from 1 species